UUUAUCAAGCCGAUUAGUCUUAAUUAGCUUUUUAGCAACUCAUUUGGCAGGGGCUUGAAUGUAAUGGACAUUCACUAAUAUCAAAAAGUCACAUACUAAAGCUUAUA